GCUUACGGCCACACCUCCCUGAGCACGCCCGAUCUCGUCUGAUCUCGAAGCUAAGCAGGGUCGGCCCGGUUAGUACUUGGAUGGGAGACCGCCUGGGAAUACCAGUGCUGUAACCU
rnacentral:rRNA from 1 species